UACGGAGUGUGCAAGCGUUACUCGGAAUCACUGGGCAUAAAGCGCACGUAGGCGGUCAGGCAAGUCGGGUGUGAAAGCCCUGGGCUCAACCUGGGAAUUGCAUUCGAAACUAUCUGACUCGUGUAUGGGAGAGGGAAGCGGAAUUUCCGGUGUAGCGGUGAAAUGCGUAGAUAUCGGAAGGAACACCAGUGGCGAAGGCGGCUUCCUGGACUAAUACUGACGCUGAGGUGCGAAAGCGUGGGGAGCAAACAGG
rnacentral:rRNA from 1 species